CAGCUCUUCAUCUCCUGUGUGGUUGAUGGUUGGACUGGUUUGUGGAGUCUCUCUCAUUAUUAUUCUCCUGCUCUUGUUGUAUCGCUGCAGACAGUCCAAGUAUUCCUGCUUCACCAGGUCGAUCCAGUCUGAGAGUCACAGUCCGGGCUCCUCCACAAAUCAUGGAGUCAACCAGAAUGAAACUCAUGA